GACGAACGCUGGCGGCGUGCCUAACACAUGCAAGUCGAACGGUAAGGCCCUUCGGGGUACACGAGUGGCGAACGGGUGAGUAACACGUGGGUGAUCUGCCCUGCACUUCGGGAUAAGCCUGGGAAACUGGGUCUAAUACCGGAUAGGACCCUGGGAUGCAUGUCCUGGGGUGGAAAGCUGUUGCGGUGUGGGAUGGGCCCGCGGCCUAUCAGCUUGUUGGUGGGGUGAUGGCCUACCAAGGCGACGACGGGUAGCCGGCCUGAGAGGGUGACCGGCCACACUGGGACUGAGAUACGGCCCAGACUCCUACGGGAGGCAGCAGUGGGGAAUAUUGCACAAUGGGCGCAAGCCUGAUGCAGCGACGCCGCGUGAGGGAUGACGGCCUUCGGGUUGUAAACCUCUUUCAGCACCGACGAAGCGCAAGUGACGGUAGGUGCAGAAGAAGGACCGGCCAACUACGUGCCAGCCGCCGCGGUAA
rnacentral:rRNA from 1 species